GGACAGAGAAAGGAAUUAAGUCGAUUACAUCGACCUCAGUGCGAAACUGGUACUUUUAUUUAUCGACCCCGAAAGGAUGAAAGGCAAAGUCGACCUCGGCGGAAUUUGAACUCAGAACGUAACGACAGACGAAAUACCGCUAAGCAUUCCGCCCGGCGCGCUAACGUUUCUGCCACGUUCAACUUGUACAAUACAAAGUUAACUUUGUUUUGACUCCCACUAGUAUCUCUUCCACUUUACUUACAUCACCAUCCUCAUAGAGUAACUACUGGACAUCGUACAAAUUCAACUAUGCACCACUGAUAGUGAUAAUGGCUUUGAGCCUCAACAUGGUCGUUCGCCGUGUUAGAAAUAGCAGUAAAAUAACCCUCCAGUCACAUCCUAUUGUCUUAAGGGAGAGAGAGAAAAAAAAAAGGAUACAUCGGAUAAUUUAGACAUAAUGUAACUAAAAAUAAAGAUCUAGUUAUGGCUGGAAUGUCUUUCAUCAUAGAUCGGGACUGAACUGACUUUAAACAACACUAACAGGAGAUGAAUCUGAUGUCCGAAAAAAAAAAACUCCGACUGUCCGUUAGCUGGAAAGGUAAGUCGUCCUUAGCAUCGAAGUUUUGUAUUCAACUUCAAGAAAAUUAGCAUGUCCUUCAUUUUGAUAAUUGUUAUUCAAUAUUUGAGGAUAAUGUUUUAAUCCAAGAUUAUAUUUACCAUUGCUAAAUUUGGAAUAACCGCUUCAGAUAGUAAAUAACACCGAGGCACAACGUUCAUUCAUCUGUGUAAAGGAAGUUGUCAAGUUACACGCACACAGCUUUAUUUAUUUGUUAUUUGUAAUGUUUUUUUUCUUCUUCUGUGUACGCAGAUGCACGAAAGCAUCUAUUCAUUUUUACUUCUAAGCAAUAUAUAUACAUACAUACAUACAUACAUACAUACAUACAUAUAUAUAUACACAUACAUAUAUAUAUACAUACAUAUAUACAUACAUAUAGAUAUAUAUACAUACAUAUAUAUAUACAUACAUAUAUAUAUACAUACAUAUAUAUAUAUAUACAUACAUAUGCAUAUAUACAUACAUAUAUAUAUGUACAUACAUAUGCAUAUAUACAUACAUAUAUAUACGUACAUACAUAUAUAUACGUACAUACAUAUACAUACAUAUAUAUAUAUAUAUACAUAUAUAUAUACAUACAUAUAUAUAUACAUACAUAUGCAUAUAUAUAUAUAUAUACAUAUGCAUAUAUAUAUACAUAUAUAUAAAUACAUACGUAUGCAUAUAUACAUACAUAUGCAUAUAUACAUAUAUAUAUGUACAUACAUAUAUAUACAUACAUACAUAUACAUACAUACAUAUACAUACAUAUAUAUAUACAUACAUAUAUAUAUGUAUAUAUACAUACAUAUGCAUAUAUACAUACAUAUGCAUAUAUAUAUAUACAUAUAUAUAUGUAUAUACAUAUACACACACGCACGCACAUGCUCGUAUACACUUUGAUGUAUGUACAUCUGAGUAUAUGUGUAAGAUUCGUUUUGGUGUAAUCCACUGCCCCUCAUAAUUAAAGCAGUUAAACUCAAGGUGGGCCUUGAUGCAUGACUAGCGACAUCCUGUUAUAAGUCAAUUGAAAUUUGGUUUACAUUACUUGAUUAACUACGUAAUAUGCAUUGAAUGAGAAAUUUCACAUAUUCUGUAAUAUCGCUCAUUAUGUAUUUCCCUAAGAGGCUCGAGGAAAUAUGUAAAUGAAGUAGUUCACAGCAACCUAAUGGGUUUAAUAAACACAAGCAGAAGAGAAACAAGAUUGAGUCAUACGUGCAGUGAGACAUUAACGAAUCUAUAGUCGCUUGACGGGCAAGAAAUGACAUUCAAGAUUCUCUCAUAUUUACUCAUUAUCGUCUUAAAGAUGUAUAAUAUCCACUGUGAAGUCCCUGAAAUGCAAAAAGGAUACGAGGGCCACCACUAUACCCCGUUAGUUGCAUAUUCUAGAGGCUUGCUGACUUGAACUACACAACAACAAUAAAAGUCUUCAGUAAAUCUAUGAAUAAUGAUAAUAUCAACUCAUAUUUAACCCUGUUUUCAAUAAAGCAUUUACUUCUGUCAAACGUCGGACAAAAUGAGCGGCAUUUCUUCCAGAUCUUUACGUAAUAAGUUCAAUUCCCACCGAGGACAACUUUGUCUGUCUUCCUUACGGGACCGAUAAAAUAAAACACCAGUCAAGUAGUGAGGUGGAUAAUGUUGACUGUCCCACCACAAACAAGCACACACACACACACAAAUACAUACACACACACACACGCACGCACUGGCUUUGUGCUAAAAUUAGAAAGAAUUUAUUUCUAAUCACUUUUUGAAAGAUCAUUUUUACGUCCGCUUUCCAUGCUGGUAUGGGUUGGACGAAUCAUCACCUUCAGAGUCAAUCCUUAUUCUUUGUAAUUUUCAAAUGACUUAAUAUAUGUAUACCCGAAAGGAAAGGAGAAUAUAUAUUAAGGCUUGUAUACACACACACACUCUCUCUCUAUCUCUCUUUCUGUCUUACACACACAUAUAGCGUGUGUGUGUGUGUGUGUUUGCUUCAGUGUGCACACGUACAUAGGGUGAGUGAAAAACUAAUUAACUCAUAAAUUAAAUUUGUGACCAAACAGAAUCGGAUUAUCCAUGAGAAUAUAACUGAACGAUAGCUUCUCUUUUUCAUUAAAAGUAUGUUGCCAAGAGGUUACAAAGUUGGACAGAUCAAGUGUUUGUAUCUUAUAUUAAGUAAAGGCCUAGAUUAAAACAUAUAACCAAGACAACAAAUUUUAUCUAGCAAAAAUGCAUUUCGCCAGGGAUAUUAACAAGCCAAUUGAAGCUGAAGACAUUCAAUCGGAAAUCAAAACAAAAUUGCAGAUUUUAUUCAGAGACACUCAUCUCUCUCUCUCCACACGCACGCACGCACGCACACACACACACACACACACACACACACACACACACACACACACACACACACACACACACACACACACACACACACACACACACACAUAUAGAUAGAUAGAUAGAUAGAUAGAUAGAUAGAUAGAUAGAUAGAUAGAUAGAUAGAUAGAUAGAUAGAUAGAUAGACACACACAUAUAUACAUUGUCUGUGUGUGUGUUCUUGAUUUGGCAGUUCUGCACAGGAGCACUAACUCUGAAGUGUUGACAAGUGGGACUGUCCGAGAUGCGUGCAAAGUGACAAACCCACCCUGUAUGCACUCGGUGCACUGUCCGAGCAUUGCAGAUUGUGGAGUUAUGAAUAGCUGUUGUUACGUGUAGGGCGAAUCCGGCUGUCCUCGUCUCUGUUGCGAAGCUCGACUCCUAACCCACCUUUAUCGAGGCGGGACAAAUGAUGGUCCUCUAUUUAGUGGCAAUAGCAAAAGAGGUCGUGUGUGGACGAGGUGUUGAAAGCAUUGAGGGCAGGCACUUUCCUCUCUGGUCAAACUUCAUCGACUUUUUCAAGUUCCACUUCCAAAGAAAAGUGAGGAUGGAGAGGGAAGCGCUCGCCUGCAGCGAAUUUGUUAAAACGUGUCUCGUAAAAAUAGUUCGGGUGAAUGGACCUACCCUGAGCAUAUACCUGUGGAAUGAAGAACAUCAGUCAUGCAAGGGCUUGUGCUCUUGGUGGUCAGGGUGAUCCUGGAUCUGUCCGGUUCCUUUGUUGGCUCUAACUAGAGGUUCCCCUGUGUCAGGAGGAUUGCCUCAUAGAUGUGUUUACGCAUUUUGUAAACAAUGUAUACGUUUUAUCCAGUCUUUUCCCACUUCCUCUCCUUCUCUCUUACUUGUUUCAGUCAUUUGACUGUGGCCAUGCUGGAGCACCGCCUUUAGUCGACCCCAAGACUUGUUCUUUGUAAGCCUAGUACUUAUUCUAUCGGUCUCCUUUGCUGAACCGCUAAGCUACGAGGACGUAAACACACCAUCGGUUGUCGAGACCCCAAGCCUUAUUCUUUGUAAGCUUAGUACUUAUUCUAUCGGUGUCUUUUGCCGAACCGCUAAGUUGCGGGGACGUAACUUAGCAUGUUGUCAAGCGAUGUUGGGCGGACAAACACAAACACACAAACAUAUACACGCACAUACAUAUAUAUAUAUAUAUACGACGGGCUUCAUUCAGUUUCCGUCUACCAAAUCCACUCACAAGGCUUUGGUCGGCCCAAGGCUAUAGUAGAGGACACUUGCCCAAGGUGCCACGCACUGGAACUGAACGCAGAACCAUGUGGUCCGUAAGCAAGCUACUUACCACACAGCCACUCCUACACCUUCACUCAUGUUUUAUGUAAACCACAACACUAACUGUAAACUAGUCUUGUAAUAUCGCCCUCACCUGAUGCCCCCCCGUAGCAAAUAAAUCAUCAUCAUCUUCAUCAUUAUCAUUUAUAUACUCAAUAAGCACCCCAUAAUAAAAAGAAGAGAUCAGGCCUUGUGUUUAUAGUAGAGAGAAUUAUUAUUCACAAGAAUUCUUUUAAGGUGCAGCAUUCUGUCUCUCUUCGUAUUCUGAGUUCUAAUUCUACCGAGGUUGAUUUUACCUUUCAUCCCUUUUUUUUGUGGAGCGUGGGGGGUGGUGGGGGUGGUGAUAAAUUAAGUACCAGUGAAAUACUGGGGUCGAGGUAACUGACUAGCCACGUCCUCCAAAUUUCAGUUCUUGUGCCUAUAAUAUAAAGGAUUAUAAUAAUAAUAAUAAUUAUUAUUAUUAUUAUUAUUAUUAUUAUUAUUAUUAUUAUUAUUAUUAUCAUUGAGUGAGAGAGCAGUGCAUGCCAUCAAAGUGACACUAGGGUAAAGUAUAUAUUUCUUUAUUGCCCAUAAGGGGCCAAACACAGAGAGGACAAACAAGGACAGACAAAAGGGAUUAAGUCGAUUACAUCGACCCCAGUGCGAAACUGGUACUUUUAUUUAUCGACCCCGAAAGGAUGAAAGGCAAAGUCGAUCUCGGCAGAAUUUGAACUCAGAACAUAACGACAGACGAAAUACCGCUAAGCAUUCCGCCCGGCGCUCUAACGUGUCUCAGUAUACUCAUCAUGACUACCUGUCUGAUAAGGGUACACCAGGUACAUGCGUCACAACCAUAUGUACACGACAUCGUGAUAUCAAGAUAAACAGCGCAUGACCUUGCAGGUGGGGCCCAGUUAGAAUCUUCUUCUUCUUCUUCUUCUUCUUCUUCUUCGUAGUAGUAGUAGUAGUAGUAGUAGUAGUAGUAGUAAGGCAGGAUUGGUAGAAUUAUCAGAGUAUCAGACGAUAAUGCUUUAUGGUGCCUGUUCCAGCUCUUUACAUUCUGAGUUCACAUCCAUGCCAAAGUUAACUUUGCAUUUCAUCCCUCUGGGCUCAAUAAAACAAAAUACCAGUCUGGUAUUGGAGUUGAUGGCAUUGAAUAAACACCCUCCCUUCAAAAUCGCUGGCUUUGUGUCUAAAAUCAGAAACCAUGAUUAUCAUUCUUAAUGUUUCCCCUAUUUAACCACAAAAGCUGAUAAAAGAUCGACAACAGAACCAGACAGCAUUUUGCAAAAUUACAUAAAGUUCAUAUAAAGGAAGAGAAAAAUGGUAAACACAAAGGAAAAAGUCCCCAAAUGCAUGGAGAUCACCAAGGCCCACUCAAGGAAACACCACCACAAAACAACAAUAAUCUGAUCACCAACACAAGUGCCCUCUCCCAGUUGACCUCCAGUCAACAGGUACACACUCAGAGCAGGCCUGUUUGCUCUGGCCAUGCUCACUACUCUCAUUCAGCUGUCAUCAAAUUUGCUGAGAAGCAGUACUUCUGUCUUUGCCCUUAUUUUCCUUUUUCAAAUGAAACUUGAAAAUAUAGAGGAAGGCAUAGACAAAGAUGAUGUUGGUCUAUCACUCUUUCCAAUCUCAUCCAUUGUGCAACUUCUUUUACGUAACCCGCCAGGCAGAUACCCUCAGGCCGACCAAAACCUUGUGAGUGGAUAUGGUAGACGGAAAUUGAAAGAAGCCUGUCAUAUAUAUAUAUAUAGAUAUAUGUGUUAAUAUAUAGAUAUAUAGAUAUAUAUGAUAAUAAUAAUAAUAAUAAAUAUGCAUUACACAGCAUGUAUUAGAAACAUAAGAUAAUUUACAGUAAAUAAGUGUGUGUGUGUGUAUAUGUAUGCAUGUAUAUAUAUGUAUAUAUAUAUAUAUGUAUAUAUAUGUAUAUAUAUAUAUAUAUAUACAUAAGUAUAUAUAUAUAUAUGUGUGUGUGCGUGUGUGUAUAUAUGUACAUAUAUAUAUACAUAUAUAUAUAUAUGUACAUAUAUAUGUAUAUAUAUAUAUAUGUGCAUAUAUGUAUAUAUAUAUAUAUGUGCAUAUAUGUAUAUAUAUAUAUGCAUAUAUGUAUCUAUAUAUGUAUCUCUCUCUCUCCAUAUAUAUAUAUAUAUAUAGAUGUAUAUAUAAUAAUAUUAGGGAGUAUAACUCCAAACUUACAGGGAAAAGUUGCAUAAUAGUGGUUUUAUCUGUAAUUUAUAUUUAUAUAUGUAUAGAUAUAUAUGUAUGUGUGUGUAUAUGUGUGUGUGUAUAUAUAUGUGUGUAUAUAUGUGUGUAUGUGUGUGUAUAUAUAUAUGUAUAUAUAUAUAUAUAUAUAUAUAUAUAUAUAUAUAUACAUAUGUGUAUAUAUAUGUAUAUAUAUAUAUAUACUAUAUAUAUAUAUAUAUAUAUAUAUAUAUAUAUAUAUAUAUGAAAUAUAUAUAUAUAUAUAUAUAUAUAUAUUAGCUGAGAUGUUAAACGUUUUUGAUUUUCAUUCCUUUCAUGAAUUUAUCCCUUUUCUGUGUCUAGCACAACGCUUCCUUAUUUGGAAGCCUUUUAAUGUAUUUCUAUAUGAAUAAUAUAUAGUCUAAUGACCAAUUCGUCUUUUGUGCUGGGUCACUGGUAAUAAUAAUUUAUUUUUCAUCACCCAAUUUACUAUGUUUAUAUAUAUAGGCGCAGGAGUGGCUGUGUGGUAAGUAGCUUGCUUACCAACCUCGUGGUUCCAGGUUCAGUCCCACUGCAUGGCACCUUGGGCAAGUGUCUUCCACUAUAGCUUCGGGCCGACCAAAGCCUUGUGAGUGGAUUUGGUAGACGGAAACUGAAAGAAGCCCGUCGUAUAUAUAUAUAUAUAUAUAUAUAUAUAUAUGCAUGUGUGUGUUUGUGUGUCUGUGUUUGCCCCCUAGCAUUGCUUGACAACCGAUGCUGGUGUGUUUAUGUCUCCGUCACUUAGUGGUUCGGCAAAAGAGACCGAUAGAAUAAAUACUGGGCUUACAAAGAAUAAGUCCCGGGGUCGAGUUGCUCUACUAAAGGCGGUGCUCCAGCAUGGCCGCAAUCAAAUGACUGAAACAAGUAAAAGAGUAAAAGAGUAUAUAUAUAAAAUUAUCAACCAUCGCACAAACAAUAACUCUGAGCACCUCUUCAAACUCCACCCAUCUAACACCCGUGGACAUAUUUACAAAGUCAGAAAACAGCACAGCUCCCAUGACUUCAGGAAACAUUUUUUCACGCUGAGAGUUGCUGAAGCAUGGAACAAACUGCCGGCAUCGGUUGUUAGUUGUCGGAGCACUGAAUCCUUCAAAACUUCCAUGCUUCCUGAGAUUUGCCAACACUAUACCUGAUUUUCUCCCAUCCAUACACACACAAGCAUGUAUCUGACUCAUACACUGUUCACUUCCCAGACAUUUGUACAUUACUGCAUGUACUUUAUAUGCACUUUCUGACAAGUUGUGGUGCACCUGAACACCGUAUACAAUAAUUUCAUUAUUAUAAGCAACAGAGUGACUCAAAUGCUGAUAGUUUCAUAUGUGGGCAAUUAUCAAACUAUACCCGUAUCUUAAGGUCUGUUUUUCCUGUUUGCAUCACCAUAUAUAUAUAUAUAUGUUAUGAAAUGAAAUAAAUGACAAGUGAACAGGAAAUUUGUAAUGAACUUCAUUUCCUUGCUGCUGUUUCUGCUAUAAACUACAGUAGACUCAGAGCUGAGUGUGUGUGGGUCACCUUAUAGUUUCCUUGGAGCUUUGAUUAUGAAAUAUAAGUUUACCUUGGAAAACACACACAUACACACACACAAACACACACACACACACAUAUACACAUAUAUAUAUAAUAAAUAUAUAAAUAAAUAUAUAUAUACAUAUAUAUGCAUAUAUAUAUAUAUAUGUAGUAUAGUCCUCCUCGGUAGUAUAGUGGUUAGUAUGCCUGGCUGUCACGUGGGAGACCGGGACUCAAUUCCCCGCUGAGCAGGCAUAUUAUUUUAAAUGGUGGUGCCCCAGCAUGGCCACAGUUCAUGAGCUGAAACUAGAUGAAAUAUAUAUAUAAUAAAUAAAUAAAUAUAUAAAUGCAUAUAUAUAAUAAAUAAAUAAAUAAUUAAAUAUGUAUAUAUAUAUAUAUAUAUAUAUAUAUACACACACACACCAAGAGAGAGAAAGAGGUUGAGAUAUCUGAAUACACCUUUCUGUUAUCCAACUGUAGGGUUCAAAUAUCUGGUGAAAGGCCAGUAGAAGAAUAUUUAUCAUGUCCUGAAGUAAAGAGAUUUUUGAUGCCAUGGCACCCUACUACAAUGAGGCCCAGGUGACCGUUGGUUUUAAGAAUAGGAUUAGUCAAACAUUAAAAUCUAACCCCAUAAAAGUAAAAAUACCACUGGAAAGUCUUGUGGCUCACAGACCCCUCCUUCCGUAAUCUAAAAUCUUAGGUAGGUAAAGUUAGUUUUACUUUGAUAGACAAACACUUUCCCCAUUUGAGGAGUGGCUGUGUGGUAAGUAGCUUGUUUGCAAACCACAUGGUUCCGGGUACCGGGUUCAGUUCCACUGUGUGGCACCUUGGGCAAGUGUCUUCUACUAUACCCUCAGGCCGACCAAAACCUUGUGAGUGGAUAUGGUAGACAGAAAUUGAAAGAAGCCUGUCGUAUAUAUAUAUAUAUAUAUAUAUAUAUAGAUAGAUAUAGAUAUAUGUGUGUGUGUCUGUGUUUGUCCCCCCAACAUUGCUUGACAACCGAUGCUGGUGUGUUCACGUCCCCAUAACUUAGUGGUUCGACAAAAGAGACUGAUAAAAUAAGUACUAGGCUUACAAAGAAUAAGUUCUGGGGUCGAUUUGCUUGAUUAAAAGGUGAUGCUCCAGCAUGACCACAGUCAAAUGACCGAAGCAAGUAAAAGAGUAAAAGAGAUACAGUUUAAGAGUUUCUUUUAGCUGUAUACCUAAUAUACAGAAAAUAUCAGCUGGUAGCUCCACAGCUGAGACAAAGGUAGGGUCCUCAUGCAAGGACAAUUACACAUAUCCUGUUAAUGACCAAUGAAACACAGAGACCAUCAUAUAUGAGGCAUAGGACACAGCAAACGGACAAACUUGCAGAUGUCUGUGGGCACAACAGAAGGUCAAAUCUAAUAACCAUAAAUUCACCCUUUUAAUCCAAGAGAGACAGCCUCACUAGGUAUGUAUGUUCAUUGAAAGAAAGUGUCAUUGAUGACACCCAGGUGUUUUUGGGCAAGGAACAUAACUCUUGGUGGGUACCCCUCUGAUCAUCUCCCACGGGUUUGUUUUGUCUUUUUCACACUACUCACAUUCUGAAUAUGACACUUGCUGACAGAAAGCCAUUGCAACGUUUCCUCAUACUGGCCAGUCUGAUGAGCAUAAUUACCUAAUUUCUGUGUGAAACUGAUUGGUAAGUUUGGUUGAAAUCAUCAUCAUCAUCAUCAUCAUCGUUUAACGUCCGCUUUCCAUGCUAGCAUGGGUUGGACGAAUGACUGAGGGCUGGCGAACCAGAUGGCUGCACCAGGCUUCAAUCUUGAUCUGGCAGGGUUUCUACAGCUGGAUGCCCUUCCUAACGCCAACCACUCCAAGAGUGAAAUGCAUAUACUAUAUAGCUUAAUGUGUGUGUGUGUGUGUGUGUGUGUGUGUGUGUGUGUGUGUGUGUGCGUGUGUGUGUGUGUGUGUGUGUGCACAUAUACACAUACAUGCAGCUUGGUUCCAAAACAGUUGUUAUACUCUAGAAAGAACAUGCAGAUUUAACAACUAAAAGGUUAUUAUUUUAAAUUAACUGUACUUUACUAGCUUUGAAGUACCUGAAAACCAUGCUUUUUUUAUUUAGGUGUAUCGUUUAUAUAUAAUAAUAAUAAUGAAAUUAUUGUAUACAGUGCUCAGGUGCACCACAACUUGUCAGAAAGUGUAUAUAAAGUACAUGCAGUAAUGUAAAAAUGUCUGGAAAGCGAACAAUGUAUGAGUCAGAUACAUGCUUGUGUGUGUAUGGAGGGGAGAAAAUCAGGUGUAGUGUUAACAUACAGAAUAAAUGUUCUGGUGAAGCAGAAUUAGGGUUUGCAAGAAAUAUUACAUUACACCCUUAGCAAUCAGUUUGCUCUCUCAAAUGUGAUGCUUAUUUAUUCACAUUGUUUUGAAUUAGUCAUAUAUUAAUCUUGUUGCUUUGAGAUUUCAAUAAUGUGAUUAUUUUUAGAAUGACAUUGUAGGAUAGGUGUGAGAGGCUGGAUCUGGCUGGUUUGAACAAAUAUUUGCACUGAAUAUGGUCAGUUUAAAUGCUAAAGGGUUAAACAGCAUACAGCAUGUGAAUUACUAAAUUCUACAUAAAAAGAUAGUUUCAGUUUUGCUUUUAAACAGUUUGGGUGUUAUCACACUUGAAGAAAAUAUAAGGAGUGACAUUUUGUUCUAGGUUUUUCAAUUUGUAACUUAUCUUGCUUUUUAAUUGCUACCCCUGAUUUUAAGAGACCCACCAAUCAUUGACUUCCGUGUACUGAAAAAAAGGAAAAAUUUUCCCAAUCAUAAAUCAAUUUAUAAAGAAUCUAAAAAAGGGAAAAUGUUCAGUCUACAAUCUUAGAUGAUUUCUUAAACAGCUUUCAAAUUUCUAUCAUUCUUCUUUUAAGCCACUCUUUCAAAGAGACAAUAUUGCUCAUGUAUGAAGGCAGCGAGCUGUCAGAAAUGUUAGCAUACCGGGUGAAAUGCUUGGCGGUAUUUCAUCUAUCUUUACUUUCUGAAUUCAAAUUCCGCCGAGGUUAACUUUGCCUUUCAUCCUUUUGAAGUCGAUAAAUUAAGUAUCAAUUGCGUAUUGGGGUUGAUCUAAUUGACUGGCCCCCUCCCUCAAAAUUUCGGGCCUUGUGCCUAGAGUAGUAAUUAAUAUUGCUCAUGUAUUGAUUGCUCCUUCUAUACUCUGCAUUAUACUGUUGACUCGUCUUAAAUGCUCCAAACCAAUUAUGCCACCCAUUUAGUCUUAUAAUCAACGGUUUGUUUGGGAUUUUUUUUAUUGCUUAGUCAGUGGAGAGGGUGUAAAGAGUAGUGUCCAUGAUCCUUUACAGGGCCUCCAAGACUGAUGGGAUAGGGGGAGGUACCCACACCAGAGACCAGGACCAAAUAUACUUGUAACAACAUCAUCAUCAUCAUUUAACGUCCGCUUUCCAUGCUAGCAUGGGUUGGACGGUUCAACUGGGGUCUGGGGAGCCCGAAAGCUGCACCAGUCCAGUCAGAUCUGGCAGUGUUUCUACAGCUGGAUGCCCUUCCUAACGCCAACCACUCCGAGAGUGUAGUGGGUGAUUUUAUGUGCCACCGACACAGGUGCCAGACGAGGCUGGCAAACGGCCACGCUCGGAUGGUGUUUUUUAUGUGCCACCGACACAGGUGCCAGACGAGGCUGGCAGACGGCCACGCUCGGAUGGUGUUUUUAUGUGCCACCGACACAGGUGCCAGACGAGGCUGGCAGACGGCCAUGCUCGGAUGGUGUUUUUAUGUGCCACCGACACAGGUGCCAGAUGAGGCUGGCAAACGGCCACGAUCAGAUGGUGCUUGUUACGUGCCCACAGCACGGAGGCCAGUCGAUGCGGUACUGGCUACGGCCACGUUCGGAUGGUUUUCUUGUGUGCCACGUGCCACCGGCACUGGUACCACAAAGAUACAAAUUCCAUUGAUGUUCAUCUAUUUUGAUUUGUUUUGAUUUUCACUUGCCUCAACAGGUCUUCACAAGUGUCACAAGAAGGAAGGUAUGCACAGGUGGACUGACUACGUCCCAGGUAGGGGCCAUGGGUUAUGGCCUGACUAGUCUUGCCGGGUCUUCGGAUGGUGUUUUUAUGUGCCACCGACACAGGUGCUAGAUGAGGCUGGCGAACGGCCACGAUCGGAUGGUGUUUGUCAUGUGCCCACCGCACUGACUACAGCACUGAUGGAUUUCUUGUGUGCCACAGGCACUGGUACCACAAGAUACAAAUUCCAUUGAUGUUCAUCUAUUUUGUCUAUUUUGAUUUGAUUUGAUUUGAGGGCCCUGGCAGUGGUAUUUGCAGGAAGCAUUUGGAGAUAAUGAAGACUUUUUGUUUCUUUUAUUAAUAUGGUGACAGGGGAUGGAAUGUGGGCAUGUGUUAUGAUCCGAAAACAAAGACUCUUCUCCAAGACCUAAGGUGUUCAAGAACCAGCAAUUGGCACUUGCAACAGCAUGAACUGUGCUAAAUAUACUCAUGGCCUGGCAGUGGCAUUAGCUGGAAACAUUUUUUUUUCUUUCUUUAAUUUGGUAGUAAGGGAUGGAAUGUGAUCUAAAAACAAGGAAAACUCUUCUCCAAGAUCUAAGAAGUUCAAGGACCAACAACUGGUGCAGAAAGUCACAGUGAUUAUUUUUCUUUUUCUUCUUUUUUUUUUACAAUGUGGGGUGGAUAACAAGGGUGUCAUUCUCCUUGAUUUUCUGGAACAUGGCUAUACCAUGAACAGCAAGCUGUAUACUGAGACACUCAAAAAGCCCGUGAAAGAAAGAAAUUGAACAAUAAUCUGAAAACAAUCCAAAUUCGCAACAAUGCUUGACCACACAUAUCUUAGGCAAAAAAUUUGGCAGUUGGCAAAUUAGAGUGGUCACUGGCCCCCUAUCCACCAUACAGCUUGGAUCUGGUGCCCUCCAGCUUCUGUCUGUUCAGUCCAAUGUCUUCAGAGUCAAUGAUUUGAUAAUGCAGAUGAGGUGAAAGUGACUGUGAAGAAAGGGGGACAACAGUGCACAUUUGAAUAUUUUCAAAGAGAAUUUGAGAAUUGGGUUCAAUGACUGCUUGUAAUGGAAACAAUGGAAAGUAGUAAAUAUGUAUAGAAGAAGAGUUACUCUACCAACAUGCACACUUUGAAUGACCGACGUCGGUAGUGGAGGCACAUGGCCUAGUGGUUAGAGCAGCAGACUCGCGGUCGAGGGAUCACUGGUUCGAAUCUCAGACCAGGUGAUAUGUGUGUUUAUGAGCGAAACACCUAAGCUCCAUGCGGCUCCAGCAGAAGGUAAUGGUGAACUUCUGCUGACUCUUUCGCCACAACUUUCUCUCACUCUUUCCCCCUGCAUUUUGCAGCUCACCUGCAACGUAUACGCCAAGAAACCGGGAAACCGGCCCUUAUGAGCCAGGCAUGGCUCGAGAAGGAACUAACAACAACAGCCAAUGUCAGUUAAUAAAGAAGUUAUGCCCACUUUUGCAUUGUCUUAGAUACAAUCCUUCUUUUAUAUCAAUGUAUGUUUGCAUGCAUGUAAGUGUAAUGUAUAUAAUGUAAACAUGUAUGUACACAUAUAUUUUAUUUAUAGCACAUUAUAAAUUUGCCUCAUAACAGUCAAUGUAUCUUACUGAAUGAUUUCCUGUUGAGGGUCCUUCCAAGUUUGGAAAUGGAAAUUAACAAAUGCUGGACAUGGCUGAAUGGAAGACUACUUUAUUGGACAACUAAAUGCGUAUGUGUGUGUGUGUGUGUGUGUGUGUGUGUGUGUGUGUGUGUGUGUAUGUGUGUGUGUAUGUGUGUGUGUAUGUGUGUGUGUGUGUGUAUGUGUGUGUGUAUUUGUGUGUGUGUAUGUGUGUAUGUGUGUGUAUGUGUGUGUGUGUGUAUGUGUGUGUGUGUGUGUGUGUGUGUGUGUGUGUGUGUGUGUGUGUGUGUGUGUGCGUGUGCGCGUGUAUAUGCCUGUGCCAGUAUGUAUGUUUUGUCAUGUAUAUGAAGAGAUGGCUGUGAAAUGUUUCAAAUAUUUUAUUGAUUAGUAGGAACUAAUUUUAAACUUUGAGAAAUACUUUAAUUUAAUUUAACUAAUUUUUAGUUUCAAAAGUUCAGCUGAUGACAUUUUUGACUCUUCGUUACGAUACAACAUAAUAUACAGUCACUUAUUUAAAGUAUAUGGAAUUAUAUUUGAAUACAAUAGUAUAUAGUAAACAGUGUAGAAAACUAUUUGAAAUUAUUGACUUCUGGAACUUCAAAAUAUUUCCGAAUCAAUAUUCACAUCUAAAUAACCUGUUACUUUAGAUGCCCCCCCCCCUCCAACACUUUGUGAAUACUUAUCCAACUUUAAUAACAGUAUGUGUACUUUAGAUUAUUAAAUGUACAUAAUCAGCCUAAAUUUUGUUAUUGAGCAUCAAUCUUCCAACAUUGAUACAUUUUCAUUUGCCUACGUCCAGCCACACCCCUGGCAGCUUCUGUUCUAACAUGUGAGGUGACAUUGAUUAACUCAGAAUGUGUUUAAUGAAAGCAAUAGUUUUACAGCCAAAUAGCCUUCUUAGUGCCAACCACUCUAACAUAAAGUGGAAACUAGAUGGUUUUCAUUUGAAAUGUCCAUCUUCCUAGAUGUGCUGCAGUUACAUGGAUUAAAAAGCCAUAUCUCUUUCUUUGCUGAUACUAUACAAUAUGAUAUACAUUUAUUGAGCUGCCUCUUAUAUUACUUCCACAGUAUUUCAAAGCCUCAUAUUUCUUUUAUUUCAUGCUGCAGUGCCCAGUGAUUUUAAGUUGCCUACUCUCCUAAGGUUAGUGAUCUUUUUAUUAAGCCUCAAUAGGUGACUUAAUACACUUUUACAGAAUUAAGGAAUUAAAAGUGAAACAUGCUGUAGAGAAAAACUGACAUUGCCAGUUAAUGUUCAGCAUGGCAGCUUUAGUCAAUGCUUGAGCAGAAUAAUGUUGAAAGGGAUCAGAAAUAGAGAUGAUAAAUACAGGAUGAUAAACACAAUAGAGAAAAACACAGUAGAUCAGGCUAUAAAUGUGUUAGAACUUCUCAUGCAUAAAUUUACUGAACUGUAAGUUGGAGAAGGGAAACGAAAGGAGAAGAAAGAAGACAAACUGUGGCUAAAGUGCUCUGCCAAGCCAGAGUGUGUGCUAAGUAAAAAG
rnacentral:lncRNA from 1 species